UACGUAGGGUGCGAGCGUUAAUCGGAAUUACUGGGCGUAAAGCGUGCGCAGGCGGCUUUGCAAGACAGAUGUGAAAUCCCCGGGCUCAACCUGGGAACUGCAUUUGUGACUGCAAGGCUAGAGUGCGGCAGAGGGGGAUGGAAUUCCGCGUGUAGCAGUGAAAUGCGUAGAUAUGCGGAGGAACACCGAUGGCGAAGGCAAUCCCCUGGGCCUGCACUGACGCUCAUGCACGAAAGCGUGGGGAGCAAACAGG
rnacentral:rRNA from 1 species